AGUCGCUCCUGGUUGUAGACGAGUCGGCCCGGUCGGGCGGGUACAUAACAGAUGAGGGUAAAAGAUCCAUCUAAAGUUCUACCUGAGAAAGAGAAAAGAAAUAGAAGGCCUUCAACACCUCAUGAUGAAGAUUCUUCAGAUGACAUUGCUGUAGGUUUAGCUUGCCAACAUGUAAGUCAUGCCAUCAGUGUGAAUCAUGUGAAGAAAGCAAUAGCUGAGAAUCUGUGGUCAGUUUGUUCGGAAUGUUUAAAGGAAAGAAGAUUGUAUGAUGGACAACCAGUACUUCCUUCAGACAUUUGGUUGUGCCUUAAGUGUGGUUUUCAGGGUUGUGGUAAGAACUCAGAAAACCAGCAUUCAUUGAAGCAUUUCAAGAGUUCCAGAACCGAAUCUCAUUGUAUUGUAAUUAAUCUGAGCACAUGGAUUAUUUGGUGUUAUGAGUGUGAUGAAAAAUUAUCAACACAUUGUAAUAAGAAGGUUUUGGCCCAAAUAGUUGACUUUCUUCAGAAACAUGUUUCUAAAACACAAACAAGUACAUUUUCUAGAAUCAUAAAACUUUGUGAAGAAAAACAUGAGACAAGUGAAAUAAAGAAAGGAAGAAAAAGUAGCAAUGUGUCAUCUGUAAAAGGAAUUACCAAUUUAGGAAAUACUUGCUUCUUUAAUGCAGUCAUUCAGAACUUGGCACAGACUUACAUUCUUCUUGAUCUAAUGAAUGAGAUAAAAGAAGAUGGUACAAAAUUAAAGAUCUCUCCUUCCACAGAAUCUCAGCUGGACCCAUUAGCGGUAGAACUCUCAAGUCCUGGACCGCUGACCUCAGCCCUGUUCCUGUUUCUUCACAGCAUGGUGGAGACUGAACGAGGACCCCUUUCUCCUAAGGUUCUUUUUAACCAGCUUUGUCAGAAAGAAUACAAGCUGGCAUUCUAAAAGCUUUUAACAACCCCACUACUAAAACUGCUGAUGAUGAAACUAGAAAAAAAGUCAAAGCAUAUGGAAAAGAAGGUGUGAAAAUGAACUUCAUAGACCGGAUCUUUAUUGGUGAAUUAACUAGCACAGUUAUGUGUGAAGAAUGUGC